UACGGAGGGUGCAAGCGUUAUCCGGAUUCACUGGGUUUAAAGGGUGCGUAGGUGGGUUGGUAAGUCAGUGGUGAAAUCUCCGAGCUUAACUCGGAAACUGCCAUUGAUACUAUCAAUCUUGAAUAUUCCUGGAGGUGAGCGGAAUAUGUCAUGUAGCGGUGAAAUGCUUAGAUAUGACAUAGAACACCCAUGCGAAGGCACUCACUACACAAUG
rnacentral:rRNA from 1 species